rnacentral:rRNA from 1 species
CUCUACAGCCAUGCCAACCUGCCCAAUCUCGUCUAAUCUUAGAAACUAAGCAGGAUCGGCCUGGUUAGUACUUGGAUGGGAGACCACCUAGGAAGACCAGGUGCUGUAGGCA